CACGUAGGGGACGAGCGUUGUCCGGAUUCAUUGGGCGUAAAGCGCGCGUAGGCGGCUCGGAAAGUCGGGCGUGAAAUGCCGGGGCUCAACCCCGGGACUGCGUCCGAUACUGGCAGGCUUGAAUCCGGGAGAGGGACGUGGAAUUCCAGGUGUAGCGGUGAAAUGCAUAGAUAUCUGGAGGAACACCGGUGGCGAAGGCGGCAUCCUGGACCGGUAUUGACGCUGAGGCGCGAAAGCUAGGGGAGCAAACGGG
rnacentral:rRNA from 1 species